rnacentral:rRNA from 1 species
UACGUAGGGUGCAAGCGUUGUCCGGAAUUAUUGGGCGUAAAGAGCGUGUAGGCGGCUUGGUAAGUCCGCUGUGAAAGUCCAGGGCUCAACCCUGGAAAGCCAGUGGAGACUGUCAAGCUAGAGUCCGGAAGAGGCGAGUGGAAUUCCUGGUGUAGCGGUGAAAUGCGCAGAUAUCAGGAGGAACACCAAUGGCGAAGGCAGCUCGCUGGGACGGUACUGACGCUGAGACGCGAAAGCGUGGGGAGCAAACAGG